rnacentral:lncRNA from 1 species
GUGAUGUAAAGGCUGCAAAUAUAUUGUUGGAUGAGGAAUUUGAAGCAGUUGUCGGAGACUUUGGGCUGGCCAAAUUAAUGGACUACAAAGAUACGCACGUCACAACUGCUGUUCGUGGCACAAUUGGUCAUAUAGCUCCUGAAUACCUAUCAACUGGAAAGUCAUCAGAGAAAACUGAUGUUUUUGGCUACGGUGUCAUGCUUCUUGAACUCAUUACAGGACAGAGGGCUUUCGAUCUAGCUCGGCUUGCAAAUGAUGAUGAUGUCAUGUUGCUUGAUUGGGUAAGUACUGUCUUCUUAUUAUGCUUUUCUUGAUGAUGCAUUUCAAAGUUUGACUUAUCAGUCUUGUCUAGUGUUUUAAUUAUCUAAUUAUCGCAUCACUUGGUUAGCCAAAAGCAAUACACUAAAGAUGGUAUAGCAGAACCACCACUCUUAAAGAACGAAGCUUAAUUUUAUUUUCCUUGCAAGGUGAAAAUGCAAAAGCUGGUGAAUAGAAAGAGUUGAAACUUAACAAUGUUUUCUCUACGAGGUGAAGAGCGAAACAUUAAAUAUAGAAAUAGUUUAUGGGGAGAUUCUAUCCUAUGUUACUCAGAUUUGAGUGUGAGUGUCGGGUAAGGGUGAAGGCUCCUCGAAUACUUUCUGUUCAUUAAUUUUGCUUACACCAUGAAGCAUGCUUUAGGUGGUUGCAUUGAUCCGAGUGUAACUUGAUUCAUAACCAAUGAUAUUUGAGAAUCUUAUGUAAUAAGUUAGUAUAAUCUUGAUAUUGAUUUCUUAUGCCACUAAGAUUCACAUCUUUAUUGACCGUAAUUAUAUUAAAACUCAAGUUAAGCUUAGUACUGGACCAAGUGGUUUUUGUUUCAUUAUUUUCUCGGGUGCUUAAAAAUUUCAGGUAAAAGGGCUUCUGAAAGACAGGAGGUUAGAAACGUUGGUUGAUGCUGAUCUUCAGGGUAAUUACAUAGACCGUGAAGUAGAACAGCUAAUCCAGGUAGCUCUUUUAUGCACUCAAGGCACCCCAAUGGAACGACCAAAGAUGUCCGAAGUGGUCAGGAUGUUGGAGGGUGAUGGAUUAGCCGAAAGAUGGGAAGAGUGGCAGAAAGAGGAAAUGUUCCGGCAAGAGUUUAACCAUAACCACCAACCAAAUGCUGAUUGGAUCAUUGCAGACUCCACUUCUUACCUCCGACCAGACGAAUUAUCCGGUCCUAGAUGACCCCAUUUCUACAAAAAUACAAAACACUUCUGGCGGUCAGAGUUGGUGCAUUGUUCACCAUUUUGUGGAUAUACAAUAUAGGUGUCUCAGGUUUUUCCUCUUCUUUUCAAUUUUUUCUUUGGCCCCAUUUUUAUCUUAUUGUAAUAUAUGGUAAAUGUAUGGAGGUGGUUCUUUUCUUUUUAUAGGGUUGCCAACUGCAGCAGUCAAGAAAAACAUUAGGUGCUAUAAAAAAAAAAAACUGACAAAAACCGAAAUGUUAGUGUUGACUGUUUACGGGAAUACAUACAAUAAAUGAGUUACCACAUUAAAAAUUUUCGAAGAUGCCAUGCUUGAAAAGCAAGAAGGUAAAGGUAUCUGGUCUCCACCUUUUCUCGAUGGUUGUAAGCAGCGACGGCCACAUUGAAAAAUAAGGUAUUUCCGUCAUCUUUAAAAAAUUAGCCGCGUCUAGUAGCUCUGAAUUGUUACUCAUUUGAUAUUGAAAAGUUUAUAUUUCGUUUGUAAAUAACACAAAAACAAAAUAAUCAAUGUUUUAUGUUGAACAAUAUAAAAAAAUUAACACUAAAAAAAUUUACCAUAUUUGCCUCUUCUAAUGCUACUUGAUUAUUUUGCUUCAAUUAGAGUCAUGAUUGGAUUUAUAAACUUUAAUUUAAGGUAAAAACUAAGAAUUUGAAGAGUUUUUGGUUUCGAAACUCGACAGCAAUCACAUUCAGAUCUUUUUAUUAGGGCAUUGCGAACCACAACGUUUCGAAGACUAAUAUGCAGUAUUAGAAUGUGUGGUUCAAAGAUGUAUUAUGGUGUUGUCAUUUGGGGAGUCAAACACGUUAUUUUUAAUGAGAAAGCUUAUAAUAGGAGAUUAUUUACACUUUUUCCUUUAUUAAGUUUUUAUCACACGGGGUUUUUCUUAAUAAGUUUUUAAUUUCGUUGAUGAAUAUCCAAAGGGGAGUGUUAUAAAUCCAUUGAUAAAUAAGUGUCCAUAUAACUCCCAAAAUCCGUAAAGAAUUUAUCUUUAUAUAAUCCAUAAAGAAUUUAGCGUACCUUAAUUCUCUUAUUUGUGUUUUUUUAAUCUAUGGUGAUUGAAAUAUUAUAAAUAGAGGACAUGCAUAAAUUUUUUAUUAAAUUAUAGUAAGAUUUAAUGUGUUUUUAUUAAAUUAUACUUUCAUUUGUGUCUACUUUAUUAUUUUAUUCUUACUAUAGUUUUCUUUGUUUUCAUAAUUAUAAGAGAUUGUUGCAAAUUAACAAUAAAGAUAUGAGAAUAAUGAAAAUGGGAUAAUAUAAGAAGUUUCAAUAUGAAACAUUCUUUUUUUUUAUAUAUAUUUUUCUAAAAUAAUUACAAAACUUAUUAAAUCUUAUCUUUUAAGAAUCCUUACGUGAACAACUAUUUGAACUAAUUAAAUAAUUUAACCUUCUUAUAUUUGCUUGUGUGUGUGUGUGUGUUUUUUUUUUGCUUUCCUUUCACAUUUAUGUAACAUAAUAGUUUGAACGUCUUAUGAAAAGUUCAUCUCAGUAAUGUCAUUAAAUUAUUAAUAAAUUUAUAUUUUAUUUGUUAAAUUUUAAAAAAUUAUAAAAUAGUCAUUGAAUUAUUCGAAUAUUUUUAUUUAAGUCACGGACUGUUAAGUCUUUUUCUCUAAAGUCUAGCCGAUAAUUGCUUUGGGCCGUUUACCAAUGCCAGUAAUUGAAGAUUAUACAAUUCGAACAAUUUUGAAUUCAAUUCAAAGAAAAACUCAGUAAGCGAACCCCUUGUUCUAUUAAAGUAAAAAGAAAUUUCCCGUUCAUUCUUUUAAGGUUCUGUUUUGGAUUAAGUUAAAAGACUGUUUGGUUUGAAUUAAAAAAAAAAUAAGCAUGAGGCAUUUGGUCAAUAAAUAAAAAUUCAAUUAAAAAUUAACUGGUUGAUAAGAAUUUCAGAUUCCUUUAUGUUGAAAAUUAAAAAUAUAUUAAUAUAAGCUUUGAGUAACAAUUCGAUGAUCAGUACUAUAGAGUAGUACGUGUCGACGAGUAGAAGAACAUAUCUUAAAUCCAAGCUAAUCUGAUGGAUGGUGUCAAAAGACUAGAGAAGAAAACCUUUUGGAUUUUGAUUUGUAAAUUUAUUACAUUCAAAGCUAUUUCAUGAAAUAAUUAAACUAUAGAAGAUGAGGGAAAGUUUACCCUUUCGAUUGGUGUCAGAGGUGAGAAUAAAGAAGGCCAUACAAUAGCGAUUUUAACAUUCCGGUGAUUCAAAUAAAAACUUAUAAAUAAUUUAAUGACAAUUUUAUAACUUUUUAAAAUUACAUGACUAAAACAUAGACUUGUUUAUAAUUAAAUAACCUUCAUGGUCACCCAGUAAAAAAAAAUCAAAUCUCCAACUAAUCUACUAUUGUAUAUAUUCUGUUAUAUUAUACCAAAUUUAUAAAGUUUAAUCAAAUCACACAAAUUAAGGAUUAUAUAAAAAAUAGGUACUAAAAUAAUGCAAUUUUUCCCCUUUAGGUACUUCAAACUUUUUUUUGUCAAAGUAGGUACCUAAAAUUUUAUUUCAUUACCACUUUAGGUACCAACCAUUAACUCCUAUUAAAAAAACCCUCUUAACCAAUUAAAUUAUUACAUGUGACAUUUUUAAUUGAAUAAAAAUAUUUAAAAUUAAGAUUUAGAAGAAAUUAAAUUAAAAAUUAUGACAUGUUGCCAGAUUGCUAGUCCGAAAUACGAGAUUGGAUCAAUUUUUUUAUUUUUAAUUUAAUUUAAUUUUUACUUAAUGUUAAUUUUAAAUAUUUUUAUUUAAUUAAAAUGACAUCAUAAUUUGAUUGGUUCAGAGGAUUUUUUUUACGGGAGUUAACAAUUGGUACCUAAAGUCGUAAAGAAAUAAAAUUUUAGGUGCUUAGUUUGACCAAAAAGUUUUACUUUAUCUAAAUGAAAAAAGUUGUAUAGUUUGAAUACCUAUUUUUCAUAUAAGCCUAAAUUAAAAAAAAAUAAAACAAUAAGGGAUGCAUCAAGGUAUAUUUAAAAAAAAAUUCUUUAACAAAAAUACGAGUUAAUUUAAAAAGUUUAAUUUUUUUUAAAAUUCAAAGAUAAUUAAAAAUGUUUAAUUUUUUUAAAAAAAAUUGUAGUUAAAUAUACAAGUGAUUAAAAAAAUAUAAAUUGUCGUCAAUGAGGUCUUGACCCAAAAGUAAGUUUCAUGUCUUAAAAAUAUUUAGAUUUAAGUUCGACUCCCUUCGUAUGUAUAUGUAUGAGUUCUUUUCCAAAUUUAUUAUAGUUAUGUUAGAGUUAAGUGCCCCAAGUGCAUUUUAUAUGUUAUUAUUUAUACUUGUAAUUUUUCCGAAUAGAUUGGUUUAAAUAAAAUUUCAUCAUACAUUAAUAUCGUUUAUAUUUGUUCUCAAUGGUUUUUGCACGCAAAACAAAAUGUAAGCAAAUAUUGGCUCAUUGAUUAUCUAAGGUUUAAUUAAUACCAAGUUGCAUUAUAUAGUCGGAUCAUAAUGUGAGAAGACAACUUAUAUUAAUAGCUAAUCUAAAUAGUCUCUAAUCUAAUCGAAAUUGGAUAAAUCGAUUGAAAGAUUAUUAUGUUGCUUAUCAAGUCUAAUUGGAGAGAUAACUUAUCUUGGGUACCAGAGCGGAUGACUCUCGAAAGAUAGUAAUAUAGAUGUGAUUGUCUAGACAAUACAUCGUAUAGGACCCAAGUUGAAUUUAUCAUAAAUCCAUUUAUGGAUUUAUUCAUUUACGACGUUCGUAGUGUGGCAUGCCUUAAUCUUAUGUGGAUGAUGGAUUAUGUAUGUGCGACUCAUACUUUGAUGUAUUAAAAGCCUAAGUUUAAAUAGAUAAGGAACCAAAAGCUGGUACAUUAAGUAUACGACUUAUAGUAUCAUUCCACAAUAGUGAAUCAUAGCCUUGUAAAGGUAAAUGAUAUCCUCUCAUUGGCUUUACAUAGUAGUUUGAAAAGUAAUGUGGUCACGAGUAAUUUAUCACAAGACAAAUGAUUUAAUUACUAUGUGUUAGUAUUUGACUUUUUCAUAUCGAAAGAUGUAAUGAGAACCAUGAGAUGAUAUAUGAUAAUAUUAGGGGAACGAAUUUUAUCUCAAAGAGAUUAAGGAUAUCCUAUGAGGAUAACACACUUAUGACAAUGUCAUCGGACGAACACUUAUUUAGUUGCUUUCAUAACAGUAUAUAAUAAACUAGAGUUUAGUCAUGAUACUAUAGUGGAAUGACUCCAUGAUUAAAUAAUGUUGUAAUUAAUAGACGAAUAAUUAGAAUUUAAUUACAAACUAUUUGAAUCAUAAUUAUAUAUGUCCAAUCGGUCCCUCCGCUAGUUCGAGAUAACUUGAAACGAAUUGCAUGAAAGAAUUGAUACUAUGGAAUAAAUGAAAAAAACAAGAAAAAUAGAUCGCAUUAAUCACUAUCUGUUGCGAAUGUAUUUUCUCGCUAAGUACAAAAGAUGACUUAGAAAUUAAAUUAAUAUAUUUACAUUAUUAUUUAAUUAUUUGUGUAAUACCCCAUACUUGGCCUAGUCGUUAUGACCAAAUCUUGAGGUAAUACGCUUCCCGUUUGAAAACCCUAAAUGAAAACUAGCUUUGGAAAUUGUGUGAUAUGAAAAUAUUAUUUUUGGCAAUACUCUUAUAUGUUUUUCUUUAGAAAGUCACGCGCAUAACUUAUUUAUUUUUACGAAAAAACUGUUAAUUUAACACUUAGUUUUGCAGUGGAAAAUUUCAGAGUUGAUAAUUUGAAAACUAUGAUUUCGAUAAGUGAAAACGUAUAGUUUUGUCAAUUGAGUAUAUAAUGAAACAUUCGCUAUUAACUGUCGUUAAACUCAUUUUAAAUUUGCAGCGGAAAUUCCUUAGCUUUUUUAAUUUUGAAAACCAAGCAUUUAUUUUUAAUUAACAGAAACCAUGCAGGAAUCUUUAAUUGAAUAACGAAAACCACCACAAAACCCGAAACCAAAAUUAAAUCUGAAGAUUAGUCCAAAAAUCAAAAGUCUAGAAAUUUUAAUUAUUAACAAAUCAAACCAUUUUAUGCGAGAAAACCAAUUUGAGUUCCCAAAAGCCAUCCAAUCCUAAUUUUGACGAUUACCUGAAAUUGUGAAAUAAAAAGCAGUGAGCUAUAAAGUUCAGUGUGUAACUUAACUCAAACAGAGAUACAGAUGACAUAGCAAAUAGAUCAAAGCAUCGCAGAGAAUUUCAUCAAAUUCAAAUGGAAAAAUUGUGCAUGCAUGGUUAUGUCAAUGCAGUAUUUUCAAAAAACAUAAUGCAGAUGUUUCAGAAAACUUCCUACCCAACUCUACUGCACACCAAAAAGAGUUCUCGAGAACUCGUCCAUCCAGAAGCACACCAACAGAUAAUUGUGGACAAUGCCACCAGAGUUGCAAUUAAAUUACAAGAUCAGAUAUAAAUAGUCAAACCAGAUAUGUGGCUAAACCACCAGAUAGUGCAGAUCAUUAAACUGUCUGAACUUCCUCCUGACAAUAAUAUCCCAACCCCAUGCAAUGUGUCAUGACAUGCAAAUUCAGAAUCAAAACGGUAAGCAUGUUGAACAUGCAAUCAUAUAUUUAACAGAAAUGAAUAGGCAUGGAAUUUCUAUUCUUUGCAAAAUAAAUAUGUCCGAAUUCAAUAAUAACAAAUCAAUUUAAUCAGAAUAGCCACAAAGUCAGAUGCCAUGAGAAUUGGAACAAAACGUAACAUAUCAAUAAUCGUAUAUACAUAGCUAAUAAAAAACAUGCUAAUGAUGCUCACUAAUUUACAUAUCAUAACCAUAUUAUAUAAGGCAACAUACCUCCAGAAGUUACACAAUCAUAUCGGAACAACAAUUUUCAUUUAACAUACAUCGUAUGUAACACUUAUCAAACCUAUAAAAUCACUAACCUCAAACCUCACUUCAAAACACGACCCUAACUAAAUUUUACUAAAAAUGGACUUACACGCCCGUGUGGUCCACACAGCUUGGCACACGCCCGUGUGGCCCACACAGCUCACCACACGCCCAUGUGGCAUCAGUAGUGAAUUUUAUGGCUUCGCGUCGUUCGCUGUUUUUCAAGAUUAUCGUUAUACACCUAGUCAUUUUUUUUGAGAUGUUGACACUAAAGUAGCAAUUCCUACCUUGCACACGAUGACAGAACUAAACCAAUUAGCAAAAUCACCCAACUUAAUCUUAGAGUAUUCAACCCUUGCUCAAACUGAGCAUUCGGCUCUUGCAAACCAACACCAGUCAGUCCCUAAAUUGAGUAGUCGACUACUUACCCAAAGAUGAAACUGUUUCCAAAGAUCUCAAUUCACAUGAGGGUUAAUGCGUCUCACACUCCUCAUCUAUCAAAUUCAUCACAUCAGUUAAACCAAAAUCUCACAAACCAAACCAAAACUUCACAUACCUUCCUUGAAAAAGAAUAGAGCAAAUAAAUAACACCAUUAAAGAGGACAUGAAAAACACUUACCUCGAUCAAGAAUACCCUGACAACCUGCUCAAAACUUGCACAACUACGAAUGAACACAGAAGAAGCAACGGUUUAGGACUAAACGUCUAAAUGGCAACAAGUGAAAAGGAAGCUCGACAUCAAAAAUAAAAUGAGUAGCAAAAGAAUGAGAAGGAGAAAUCAGAAAAGGGUAAAAAAAUGGCAGAGAGGUGUUGCCAUCAACAAAAAUGAAAAAAAAAAUAGAAUGAUGGAGAAAGUGGGGGAGAGGAACAUCAACAUGAUUUGUACUUGGGACCUAAAGGUAAGCUAAAGCCUCACUACUGAACCAACAAACUCAUUCUUAUCAAGAAACUAACAAGAAUAAAAUAUAACCUACAUUUGACCAGUCAAGUGUAGGAGUAAAACAAUAAAAACUCAAGGGAAGGAAUUUGAACACAAGACCUUAUGCAUAUAUACAGAGCACUUAACCACUAAACCAAAUCAAAUCAGUUAAUAUGAUUCCUACAACAUUUAUUCAAAACAGGACGUGACCACUCUUGGUUCACUAAUCUCAAUUCCUACUAACCCGAUUUUUGGGAUGUGACCAUUUGUAAUUAAAUUAUUGAAGUUUGAAGCGAGAAUUAAAUUAAUUAAUCAUCAUAGUUUUACUGAAUGAGACAAUUAAAUAUAUUUCCUCAUAGAUUCUAAUACAGUAAAGUUGUCAUGACUUUAACGGAAUUAGAAUUGGGUUGAGAAAAUAAUUUAAUUAAUUAAUAUUUUGAGAAAUAGAAAAUAGUUAUUGGGUUGAAUAAAUUAUAAGUGUUGAAUAAAAGUCUAAAUAACGCAUAUAAUUGUACCCAAUACACGAGACAAGCCCGAAAGCCCAUCCUGAAGGAUGAGGGGUGACAAACCCUAGUACACCUUAGGGUUGUCGUUGCCUCUUGUAUUCUACUCUUAGUAGAAUAUUGUAUUUUCUAUUAAAAUAUUAUUAUUUAAUUACUCAUUGUUUAAGCAAAACUCUUGUAUAUAUUUUUUAUAAAUAGGAACUAUGAGCUAACUUAAAACACAAUUAAUUGGGUGUCGUUAUUCUAUCAGAAAAUAAUGAAAAUUUAUUUAUAAGAAUAAAUUCUAUUUUUUGUGAAAGCUCAUAGUUUCUAAUUCCCAUAAAGAGAAUUAACUUUUACACUGAAAGUCAAUAAAUUUUUUUCAUUUUGUGUAUUCAGUUCGUUUUGUUUGAGCAUAUACUCAAAACUAUUCAUGGUUCGAGAAUAGUAGAGAAGACAGUUUGAUAGAAAGAUGAGAAACAACUUAAACUGCGUUGUACAAAGCAUAUGUAAUAAUUCAGUUAAGAGUUUAUUAUUAUAAAUAUCACAAGGCUUGAUUUUAAGAAAAAAAUUUAAAUUUUCGAUGUGCCUAAAAACGCUGUUUUCUAAACCAAAUUUUCUUAUAAGUUAUAGUUACUUUUAAUUAGUUGUUUUUAUUCUAAUUAUAGUUAGUUUGAGUUCAGAUAGUUACUAAGUUACUUAUUGAGUUCAGUGCUUGUAAUGAUUGAUUUUGUUUAGAGUAGUUGAUAUAGGUGUAAGUCAUAACUUAAAAAAAAAAAAGAGGAGGCAAAUCUUAAAAUUACACAUGAACUUUGAUUCAAUGUGCAGUUUGAUAUAUAAAUUUUGAUUUAAUGCAAUUAUACACAUAAAACUUUGAUUAAGUUCAAACGUAUAUAUGAAACUUUCAUUUUGAUUCAAUUAUACAUAUUUGAAGAAAUAAAUACAUCAAAUUAUUUUUAUAAUUGAUAAAUAUAUUAUUUAUAUAUGCAAUAAAUAAACAUAAAAUGAUGUUAUAUCAAUAAAUUUUAAUAGUUAGUGAAGAUUGGACCAAAUCAAAAUUUCAUGUAUAAAAUUACACAAAAUCAAAGUUUAUGUGGAGUAUGCCUUGCAUUUCGGUCAAAUUUAGGCACAAACAGAGAGAAACGUUGUGACGAUGCGACGAUGAAAAUAGGGGAGAAGUAGAAAUGACACGUGGCAAUAUGACAGGGGAUGCCAUGAUAUGGCGACGUGUAAUGUAAUAAUAGACCUUUUACAACCUUAGAAAAAUUAACCCAUUACACGUUUAGGUAUUAGCUUUUACAAACUUUCAAAGAAUAUUGUGUUUAUGUUUUGAGGAUUUUUAUUUUGAGUUUUGGGGUUUAGUUUUAUCUCCAUCUUUGUACUCUUUGUUUUUGCAGUUAUAGUGAAAUUAUUUUUACCCGUGAUUUUUUUAUCCUCUUCGGAGGAGUUUUUUCACUUAAAAUAUUUAUGUUCGAUCUUUUAAAUUUCUUCGUUAUUUUAUUUGUUCGUUGUUUAAUCGAGUUUAUCCUCAAUAAACCGGUAUCAAAUCUAGUUCGAUUUUCGCAUUCAACCUGUUCAGAGAUGACAACAACAAGGUUUGAUAUUGAUAAGUUCGAUGGCAUCACAACUUUCAAUUUGUGGCAAGUUUAAAUAAUGAAAAAUUUGAUUCAGGACGAUCUUAAGAAGAUCCUUACAGAGAAGAAGCUUGCAGACAUGGAUAAAUCAAAAUGAGAUAGGUUAAAUAAAAAAAACUAUAUCCAUGACUCAAUUAUGUCUAACAAAUAAUGUGUUGCAGGAGGUUUUGAUGGAGAAAAUGACAUUCACCUUAUGGAAAAGGUUAGAAACCCUUUACGCGACAAAGUUUCUGGCUAAUCGAUUGGUGUUGAAACAACGUCUAUACACAUUCUGCAUAAAUGAAAGUGAGCACCUUAAAGGUCACAUCGGUCAGUUUAUUACUCUUUUGAAUGACUUAAAAAAUGUUGAGGUUCAGAUUGACAAUGAAGGUUAUUAUUGUGCUAUUUACCCCCUUCAUAUAAGUCUUUCAAGAAGACCCUAAUUUAUGGUAGAGAUAACCUCUCAUUUGAGGAUGUGAAAGGUCAUUUGUUGAGUAAAGACAAACUUGAAAAUGAGUUCGGUUCAGAUAGGCAAGCCUAAGUUUUGGUAGCAUUAGGGAAGCGAGGCAAAAGAUGUUGCUAUUGUAAGAAGUUAGGUCACGUUAAGGCAGAUUGUUACAAACUGCGAAAUAAAAGGGCUGCUGAGAGCAAUGAGGAAGAUUUAGCUGGUGCUAAUUUGGACAAUGAUAAGGGUGAUUGUUUCUUGUUGGUGUCAACAAGUGAAAGCUCCCAGCUUACAUCCGAGUGAAUCUUGGAUUCGGGGUGUUCUUUCCACAUGUGUCCCAAUAGGGAUUGGUUCUCCGCAUACAAUUUAAUUGAAGGUGGAGUUGUGUCUGACUUAAAGAAAAUCUCAGAUCAAGAAAACUGAUAUUGAUACUAUUCAGAUCAAGAUGCAUGACGAGACAAUUAGGACACUAUCAGAUGUCAGGCAUGUGUCUAACUUAAAGAAAAUCUCAUCUCCUUAAGAAUUUUGAGCUCGAAGGGUUGUAAAAUUAACAUCGAGUCAAACAAAAUUAAAGUAUCUCGUGGGACUCUCAUUUUGAUGAAAGGUAAAAAGAUUGGCAGUCUUUAUGUUUUGGAAGGAUCGACGGUGAUCGGUGAAAUCGGGUGUCCCUUAUUCGUUAUGGACUCGAAUUUGACUCAUUUAAAGCAGAGGCAACUAGGUCAUAGGAGGGAAAAAGGUAUGACCGUUUCAUAUAAGAGAGGUUCUCUACUGGGUGGAGGUUUUGAAAAGAUAAGGCAGUGUGUUCGUGAAAAUAAAAUCCAGAUCAGUUUUGAUUUGACAGUACACAAAUCGAAGAUUAUAAGUCUUCCAGCUUCUAGGCACAAUUUUAACUCAGUUAAUAUCUUGCAUAGUUCAAGAUAGGCCUAUGGUAGGCUUUGGCAAAGAAGACGUUGUGGAAAUACGAGUCAAGAUGGAGAUUUGUAGAGUAUGCCUCGCAUUUCGGUCAAAUUUAGGCACAAACAAAGAGCGAGUCGCGACGACGAAAAUAGGGAAAAUCAGAAAUGACGUUGCACCAACACGAUAGGGGACGUUGCAAUGUGGUGACGUGUCAUGCAAUUUUCUCGAUUUUCUUCUCCUAGUUAAACUUUGAGUAUUUGUUUCAGUCGAACUCUGGUUAGUGUAGAUUAUUUUAAUAUUAUUUGACCUACGAAUUUAGCAUAUAAAUAGGCCUUUUACAAAUUUUGAAAACUCAACCUAUUACACAUUUAGGUAUUAGCUUUUAUAAGCUUUUAGAGAAUUUUGUAUUUACGUUUUGAGGGUUCUUAUUUCGGGGUUUAGUUUUAUCUCCAUCUUUGUACUCCUUUUUUUAUUGUUAUAGUGAAAUUAUCUUUAUCCGUGAUUUUUUGUCCUCUUCGGAGAGAUUUUUCCACGUAAAAUAUUUGAGUUUGAUCUUUUUAAUUUCUUCAUUUUUUUUACUUAUUCGUUGUUUAAUCGAGUUUAUCUCCAACAAAUUAUGUAUAAAAUUACAUACUAAACUAAAGUUCAUAUAUAAUUUUGAGAUUUAUCCCUAAAAUAUAUAAAAAAAUCAAAAAAUAAUUUUAUUUUUAUUUAAAAAUAAAAAAAUCUCUAUAAUUAAGGUUAAUUUCAUCAAAUAUGCUCUUAUUCUAAAUUGGUUUUUCAUUUUAAAAACAUUCUAAUUAAAUAAUUAAAGUAUUAGAAUUAGAUGAAUCAAAUCCUUUCAUCGUACCUAAUUGUCAUUGAAAAUGUCUUAAUUUUGAUAUUAUGUUGGUUUUAAAAUUAUUACACGUUAAAUAAUGAUCUUGUAAUUUUCUGGGGAUAUGGUUUUUUAAUUUUUUUACUUUUAAAAAAUAGUUAUUCACUUUCUCAAUAAAUGCAGCAAUUUCGAUAAUGUAAUUAUAUAUAUAUAUUUAUAUAUAUUUAAGGUCUGUUUAUUUGAUAUAAAAAAGUUGACGAAAAAUAUUUUUCUCAUUUAUUUUUGUGUUAAUUUAAGGAAAAAUAAACUUAAUAUAAAUUUCUUUCAAAACAAUUUGUUUUUUGCCGGUUGAGUUUUAACUCGAUUGACAUGAGUAUUGUUGCGGAUAGAGAAGGAUCUGAGCUCUAGUGUGUUGAAGCACAUUAUCCUCCUAUUUAUGGGUUGGGGAAGGGGCUAUGAAUAAUUGUAGACAUUGUGCUAAAAAAAAUAGAUAUGAUCAGAACCUAUAAUGAGAUUGCUCAAAAAAUACUACUAAGUCUUUUCUUUGUUUUAUGUUUAUAUUUUCCCUUUUUUAUAUUAUUAAUUUUAUAAAAUCUGAAGGCUUCAAUAUAAUAAUGGCUUAAGCUUUCUAAAGAUGACCAAGAAGAAUCUGAUACUCACAUUGGUCAUCAACGGUAGAGCUGUGAGAAGAUUACUUUUGUCGGCUUCAAAUUUACUUUGUGCUUGCUUAUUUAAGCCAUUAAAUAUUUGGUUGUAUUACUUUUUGGUUAUAAUGGAAGAUAGCCGGAAUUAGAAUGAUGGAGCGGUUAAUCUCCGUUUGUUUACGGUUGAUUUUGGUGUUGGAUUUGGUUUUCAGAGUUUCAGGAAAUAAGGAAGGUUCGUCAUGAUUGUUUCCUCUUAUUUUCUUGUUUGAACUUUGCAAAUGGUUUAGCAGUGGCAUAAGGUUGGCUGUUUGUUUUAAAGUUCAGUUAGCUUGGGUGCAGUAAUUGACUUGACUGGAGAAUGAUCGUAUGCGACCUUCAAUGAUCAGUUGCUUUAUUUUUGUAUGAAACAGGUGAUGCUUUGAAUGCAUUGAAGAACAAUUUGGCUGAUCCUAAUAACGUUUUGCAAAGUUGGAACUCGACCCUUGUUAAUCCUUGCACAUGGCUUCAUGUUACAUGUAAUUGUGAAAAUAGUGUAACAAGAGUGUAAGUUUAUAUCUCAUAUUACUACUGCUUUUGUGUUUCUUUCGACUUUUCUAGUUUGACAUAGUAAACGCUUUCUUCCUUCUCAAUUUAGGGAUCUCGGGAAUUCAAAUCUGUCUGGUCAUUUGGUUCCACAGCUUGGACAGCUUCCGGCUUUGCAGAAUUUGUAAGUCGAUAGUGUAGGCCUAGUCUAUUUUUGGUUGACCCCAAAAUAGAUAACUCAUUUCUUACAUGCUACCUCUCAUUGCUAGAAUAUUGAGACAUACAUAAAGGAAAAACAAAACACCAGCAUGCUUUUGUCAUCCUAGUAACCAAAACUGACCAGAAUGUCUGAGUUACUCAGGUAUACUAGUAGAAAUAGUUGUAAACAAUGAUGUUCUAUGCUUUUGUCAUUACACAAUGGUUUGUAUCUGUUGUCAUCUUUCCAUUGGAUUUGGUUGCAUUUUCAUAGAUACAUGCAUGGGUUAUGUGCUUCUAUUGAACUUCUUUUGCUGAAGAUUACCAAUUUUUUUUAUGACAGGGAGCUUUAUGGUAAUAACAUAUCUGGUACAAUCCCAGAGGAUCUUGGAAAUUUGACUAACUUAGUGAGCUUGGAUCUUUACUUCAAUACUUUAACCGGACACAUUCCAUCUACUCUGGGCAAGCUUCAAAAGCUACGAUUCCUGUACGAGUACAUUUUUUGAAGUUAAUUUACUUAAUUUCUUUGCCCUCUUGCUUUCUGGUCAUGUGUUUUAGUAUAUGUAGAAUGCCUUUUAUGUGUUGAUAUAUUGCUAGCUGAACUGGAUAAGUAAAUUGUAUUUUUACUAAGAAUGUAUGUCCUUAUUUAUAAUUUUUGUAGAUAUAAGUAUUUCCUCUUCGCUUCUAAUGUACGCAUAACAUUGAUAAGUCCAAAAAGUCUCCGGGCUGUAAUAGCCAUCCUCGCCUGAUGUGAGUGUCAUGUGGUCUAAGUCCAAUAAAUUGCGAGGUCAAUGGUGUUUGGUUGAUUUGGGCAUCAUAGAAAUGGCUUUGUGUAGUAGGCUGCUGGACAUAAUGGUGCUUGGUUGAUAUGGGCAUCAUAGAAAUGGUUUCUUGGUUAAUAGGCUGCCGAGCCAAUGGUGCUUGGUUAAAAUGGGCACUAUACAAAUGGUUCUGUGUAGUAGGCUUCACUAAGCAUGAGUUCUUUUAAGUUACGUAUCUAGUCAUCUUAUCAAUAUGCAAUAUUUUGAUGUUCUCUUUCUGUGGAGUAGGCGUCUCAACAACAACACGUUGACGGGUCAAAUUCCUAUGCCCUUAACUACUAUUAUGUCACUGCAAGUGCUGUGAGUGCUGCUGUUAAUAUUUUUUUUCACACAUUAGUUGUUUAACCUUUGCUGCAAGAAUAAUAAAUUAAUGGUGCGGGAUGUUGUACGAUGCCAUGCAGGGAUCUUUCAAACAAUAAGCUAGAAGGAGAUAUUCCAGCUAAUGGUUCCUUUUCACUCUUCACUCCUAACAGGUUUUUCUCUUGCUGUUUCAUUUUUCUCUCACCCUAACUCCAGAUCCUCAUCUCCACUGCUUGUUCCUGUUUUAUCAUUUCUGUACUCUUAGGCCAGCCUCUUGAAUUAAUGCUUCUCUUGUUCACAGUUUUGCUAAUAAUCGAUUGAAUAAUCCUCCACCUGCUCCGCUGCCUCCUAUCACACCUACAGCUCCAAUUCCAUCAGGUUUGUUCCGGUUUUUAUUAAUAAUAAUUAUUGUUAUUAUUAUUAGCUUUUAAUUGUGCUUUAACUUUGAGGCCUGCUUCACUUUUAUUUGUAUUUUAUUGGGAAUUGAGAUAUUCCUUCGCAUUUUUCUUUGCAUUCGCAAAUUUUUUGGUAUUAACAUGUACCUGUAUCAUACGAAAAAUUGAUGUAGAUUUGAGUAUAUUGCUCAUCCUCAGCUUUUUUACAUCUGCGUCUGUUUUUUAAGAAGGUGCCUUUGAGCUCAGAUCUAAAAUCUGAUUACAAUAGUACCUAGGAUGGCUUUAGGUUCCUUUGUGAGCUAGAACAUUAUCUGUGCCUAUGAUUUCCUAGCCCACUAGUUCUCUCAGUUGAAAUGCUGCCUGCUCCAUUGGUGUUGGUACCAGAUGUUAAUAGUUGCGAAUAUUCGUGAUAUAGGUGUUUUGUGUUAACAGUAUCUAGAUUUAUCUAAUUUCAUACUUGCAGGUAAUAGUGCCACUGGUGCUAUUGCUGGAGGAGUUGCUGCUGGCAUUGCCCUGCUGUUUGCUGCUCCCGCAAUUGUAUUUGCUUGGUGGCUAAAAAAGAAACCACAUGAUCAUUUCUUUGAUGUCCCUGGUUAGUGGUUUAUCAAAAGAUAAUUUUAUUUUUAAUUGACUUUAUGUCAUCGUGUGCUUGUAUUUACUUUCUUGUAGUUUUCUUUACAGCUGAGGAGGACCUAGAAGUUCAUCUAGGACAACUUAAGAGGUUUUCUUUACCUGAACUACAAGUGGCAACCGAUAAUUUUAGCAAUAAAAAUAUUCUGGGUAGAGGUGGUUUUGGUAAAGUUUAUAAAGGUCGCUUAGCUGAUGGUUCUCUAGUGGCAGUAAAAAGACUGAAGGAGGAGCGCACUCAAGGUGGAGAGUUGCAGUUCCGAACAGAGGUGGAAAUAAUAAGUAUGGCUGUGCAUCGGAAUCUAUUACGUAUUCGUGGCUUUUGCAUGACCGCUACUGAACGGCUGCUAGUCUAUCCCUUUAUGGUUAAUGGUAGCGUUGCAUCCUGUUUAAGAGGUACUGGCUGUUUUCUCCUCGUUUAUUUCUUUAGUCUCAUGUUUCACAUUUGUGCUAUGCUCUCUGUAUUAGGUGCGCCAUUUAUCAUAUGUAUGUUCUUCAGGUUGCCAAUUUUUUUCUGACUGUUAAUUAUUAAAUCUAAUGUUAGCCUCAAUUAUCAAAUAUCUUCUCUUUUGCUUCUUCAGUUUGAGAUGAUAUUCUGAGCUACUGAUCACCUACUGGAAACUUGUAUUAUAACAUUUGUUAUUUUUAAAUUCAUGUGCUUGGUGAAUGUGGAUUGUCUUUGAAUCGAAGUGGAAUUGUUAGAAAUUCGUGGAUGCCAAAUACUUUUUGAACUCUUGUUACAAUGGACCAUCUAUUGAUCUGAUUUUUACAUUGUCUAGAACGUCCGGAAUCUCAAGCACCACUUGAUUGGGCUGUAAGGAAACGGAUUGCAUUAGGAGCUGCGAGGGGGCUUGCAUAUUUGCAUGAUCAUUGUGACCCUAAGAUUAUACACCGUGAUGUAAAGGCUGCAAAUAUAUUUUUGGAUGAGGAAUUUGAAGCAGUUGUCGGAGACUUUGGGUUGGCCAAAUUAAUGGACUACAAAGAUACACACGUCACAACUGCUGUUCGUGGCACAAUUGGUUAUAUAGCUCCUGAAUACCUAUCAACCGGAAAGUCAUCAGAGAAAUCUGAUGUUUUUGGCUACGGUGUCAUGCUUCUUGAACUCAUUACAGGACAGAGGGCUUUCGAUCUAGCUGGGCUUGCAAAUGAUGAUGAUGUCAUGUUGCUUGAUUGG